rnacentral:rRNA from 1 species
UACGUAGGGGGCAAGCGUUGUCCGGAUUUAUUGGGCGUAAAGAGCGUGUAGGCGGCCAAACAGGUCCGUUGUGAAAACUGGAGGCUCAACCUCCAGACGUCGACGGAAACCGUAUGGCUAGAGUCCGGAAGAGGAGAGUGGAAUUCCUGGUGUAGCGGUGAAAUGCGCAGAUAUCAGGAAGAACACCUAUGGCGAAGGCAGCUCUCUGGGACGGUACUGACGCUGAGGUGCGAAAGCGUGGGGAGCAAACAGG